UGGCAACAUUUGGCAGUAUGCAGUUGUGCCAUCAACAAAUCCAGAGUCCAAGGGCCUGGAUUGUCUGCCAAAUUCUUAGGAGUUAUUUGAUCAGCACGUUGAUUAAUCCAGCCUGGAGCUUUCCUGAAAGGUACUGCAAGUGACAUAACCUAAGGGACAAAAUGACCAAGCAUAAAAUGGACACAUUCACAAAAUGAAGCCUGUGGACUGAAGAGUAACAGAAAGCAGUCAGUGGAGGGGGACCAUCAACCUCAUGAAAAUUGCAACUGGAACAUGUCACUGAGAAAACCCAGGGAAAACUCACAAAGGCAUUCUAGAGCACUGCUUCCUAAAUGUUACUGUGCUUACAAACUACCUAAGUAUCUUGCUGCAAUACAGGAUAUUCGGUAAGCUAUGGCAAACUCCAAGGUGAUGGCUGAUGUGUCUGGUUCAACAACUACACUUCGUAUCAAAGGUUUAAAGAAAAAGACUUGGCUUCAAGUGCCUGCCAUACCAAGAGGAGACUGACAGCAGAUUCUACCAGCAUUACCUUUAUAAAGUCUGUGCUCCCCUUUCUGCUGUUGUCUCUCUCCCAGUGCUAGAUCUCUAGAGAGUGAGAAAUCCAAGUUGAUAAAGGUUAGAAAAAAGUAGGGAAAAUAACCACCGAAAGACUGAAUAUACAAAGGGACAAUGGCCAGACCACUUAUGGUAAUAUAACGCUGAUGACUCACAUUAGAUGCCCAGGAAACCAAAAAACAACUUCUGUAGCAAUCAAUCCAGAAAGUCAAAUGACAGCCUU
rnacentral:lncRNA from 1 species